rnacentral:lncRNA from 1 species
GGGAUGCACCCUAAGUGGAAGAAAAUGGUGACGGAUUUUCAACUAGUGCAGUUCUGGUUAAGCUUUUUGAUCAUGGCCAUGCUUGUGUUCUACCACUUCACUGCUUCUGGCUGCUCUGGGAUUCUGAGUUGGUGUUUCAAUGCAGCCUUCAUCGUCUCUCUUCUCUACUUGUUCUCAGACUUUCAUGCCAAGAGUUACUCCACCAAUGCCAAGGUCUUCAAGGGUAACUAAUAAUUAAUUAAACUACCUUUUCUUUUCUUUUCUUUUCGUUUUCAUUUUUAUAUGUAGUUAUUGUUUCAGAGUGAUUCAUCAGUUGAAGAAAAAAAUGAACAUAAUUGUCAUAAAUUCCUUUUACGAUUUCAAUUCUUCGGUGUGCAUAUGUAUCUUAAUAUCAAUUAAUUGAAGAGAUUCAUUGUUAAUUUAUAUUUUAUGUUUUUACUAUAAAUGCAUGAUUAAACAGUUCCUGCUGUUGCAGAAGCGACGAUAAUAUUAAUAACAAUAUUAUCAGAAAUAUUUAGAUAAUUAUUAUGCCGACAAUUAUACUAAGAAAAUUCCCAGUUAAAUUGGAGGGGUCACAAAUGGUCCCGCUUAAAACCCAACAACUAGACAGAACUCACUUAGAUAUUUAUAGCAAUAAUAACUAAAUAAAUAUAACCAACAUAAAGCUAUUAAAUAUAAGCAAACAACUAAGAAAUAAAAUACCAGAGUUUUAACGAGGUUCGGCCAAUUUAACUUACGUCCUCGGACACUACCAAAUUAAUAUUUCCUCUAGAAAUAUUACAAUAGAGAAGAUUAACACCAAGUUACAAUUAGCUACUUGGAUUUUUGGAAUGAUAAAACCUAAGGGGGAAGGGUUCUAUAUAUAACAAACCAAACCCCCUCCCUUUCUAUCUUUUCCUAAUGUGGGAUAUUGCCAAUAUUCAACAAAUCUCCACCUUGGUGAUAUUCCACAUCUUCGAACAUCUUCUCAUAACACAAACUUCAAUAGUGUCUUCAAAUUUGCAACCAAUCGCCUUCUUCCCUUUUGGUAGUUGUGCCAGUUUCCACGUCUUGUUUUUCUCUAGAGAUUGCAUUUCCUCUUCCAUUGCACCUAACCAUCUAUUAUUCUCUAAAUUUUGAAUGGCUUCGGUGUAAGUGGAUGGAAUAUUAUCAACAACUGGAAGUGCAUAAGCUACCAUGUCAGUGAAACGAGCAGGUUUCUGAAUUUCUCGUCUCUGCCUUCUGACUGCAAUUGGCUCUGAUUGCUGUUGAGGUUCUUGGGUAGAAACCUCUUCCUCAUCUGACUCUGCAUCUGCCAAUGAAGAAUCACUAGUGGUACCUUCUGCUGGAAUUACCACUCUCUGCUCAAACUCCACCUGCUGCGGAGUACACUUCACCUGCUGCGAAGUACUACUCGAAGUACUACUCACUCCUUCUGGAUUUACCUUAUUCAACAUGGCAGAUUCAUCAAAGGUAACAUCCCUACUGAUUAUCGUCUUCUUUGCCUCUAGACACCACAAACGAUACCCCUUAACACCAGCAUUGAAGCCCAUGAAUAGAGCCUUCUUUGCUCUUGGAUCUAACUUUGAUUCUUUCACAUGAUAAUAUGCAAUAGAACCAAAAAUACGCAAGGUGUCAUAAUCAGUAGCAGGUUUUCCAUACCAUUUCUCCAAAGGAGUCUUGCCAUUUAUAGCAGAUGAUGGCAAAUGAUUGAUGAGAUGUUGAGCGUACGUCACAGCCUCAGCCCAAAACUUUCUAUCUAAUCCAGCAUUAGAUAACAUACAUCGAACUUUCUCCACAAGCGUUCGAUUCAUACGCUCUGCCACCCCAUUCUGUUGCGGUGUUCCACCUACGGUGAAGUGCCUUACUAUGCCACAAUCUUGGCAUAUCUUCAGGAAUGGAUCGCUUUUAUAUUCUCCACCAUUGUCUGAUCGGAGAACCUUAAUCUUCCUUCCUGUCUGAUUUUCAAUUUUAGUUUUCCACUUAAGGAAAACUUCAAGCACCUCAUCUUUGUUCUUCAUAGGAAACACCCAAACUCGUCUGGAAAAAUCAUCAAUAAAGGUGACAAAAUAACGUCUUCCUCCAAGUGAUGGAGUCUUGGACGGUCCCCAUACAUCAAAAUGCACAUAAUCCAGAAUACCUUUAGUAUUGUGAAUCCCAGUGCCAAAUUUCACCCUUCGUUGUUUUCCCAGAACACAAUGCUCGCAAAAUUCAAGUUUGCAAGUCUUUGUACCUUUCAAUAAUCCUUGCUUGGCUAGAGUUUGCAAGGAUUUUUCACCAGCAUGGCCCAAACGCAUAUGCCACAGCUGUGUUGCCUCAGCGUCCUUCUUGGUACUCGAAAUUGCUGCUGCUGUUGCCCCGACCACUGUACUACCUUGGUAGUAAUACAGAUUGUUCUUUCUUAUGCCUUUCAACAUCACCAAUGCUCCUGAAGUUGCUUUAAGAACUCCAUCUCGUAUUGUCACAACUAGGCCUUUAGAUUCUAACGACCCCAAAGAGAUGAGAUUCUUCUUCAACUUUGGGACAUAUCGUACAUCCCGCAAAAUUCUAGUAGAUCCAUCAUGACUCCUCAGUUUAAUUGAACCUAUCCCGGCUAUUUUACAUGUGUUAUCAUUACCCAUGUAAACAACCCCUCCAUCUAGUUUUUGAAAUUCAAAGAACCAUUCCCAAAUGGGACACAUAUGAUAGGAACAACCAGAAUCCAUGAUCCACUCAUCUGCAUGUGAUGUUGAAGAUGUCAUACUAAGAGAAAAGUCUGACUCUGCUUCACUAUUGCAUUCUGCAACAUUUGCAUCUUGCGGAGUCUUCCAUUUUUUCUUCAAUUUUGGACAAUCUUUCUUCCAAUGUCCUUUUUCUUUGCAAAAGGAACAUUCAUCUUUGGCAACAGCUCGACCUUUGGACUUUCUUCUCUUCCUCUUAGACUGACUUUCCUGACGAUCUCUUGUUAACAAUGCUUCCACUGCUGCUUCACUUGAACCUUUCAACUUAUCCUUUCGGCGUAGUUCAUAGCUAUACAAUGCAGCAGUUACUUCAUUGAAAGUUACUUCCGACUUUCUAUGAAGUAAAGUAGUUUCAAGGUACUCAAACUCCUUUGGAAGCGAUCCCAACAACAUAAACGCCAAGUCUUCGUCUUCAAAAGUCACAUCCAAAUUCAACAAAUCAACCACCAGCUGAUUAAAAUUGGUAAUGUGCUCAUUCAUCGUGGUACCAGGAACAUAACUGAAACGAAACAGUCUUUUCUUCAUAUGCAACUUAUUUUGACUGUUCUUCUUCAGGAAUUUCUCCUCCAAUGCUUUCUACAAUUUACUUGCAGAAGUCUCUUUACUGAAUAUAUACUUCUGCUCUCUGGAAAGACAUGAUCGAAUUGUACCACAUGCCAAUCGGUUGAUGGUCUUCCAUUCUUUAUCAUCAACCCCUUCUGGUUUUUCUUCCUCAAUGGCAAUAUCUAGACCUUGUUGAAAGAAGGCAUCUAGAAGCUCACUUUGCCACAUGCCGAAAUGACCUAUUCCAUCAAAAAUUUCCACUGCAAAUCUCGUAUUUGCAAUUCCAACCCUCGACAAAAUGUACGAAGUGGAAGUUGUUGAUAUGGAUGGUUUUUCUUCUGUCAUUUUUGCCAUAGCUUCUAUUUAAUAGCCACCAAAUGCGGAAUACCCACAAGCUUUAGGAAAUGUUUCUGAUGUGUAAGAUCAGACUAAGCUGCAAACACAGAGCAUACUACAAAACCUUGGCUCGGAUACCAAUUGUUGCAGAAGCGACGAUAAUAUUAAUAACAAUAUUAUCAAAAAUAUUUAGAUAAUUAUUAUGCCGACAAUUAUACUAAGAAAAUUCCCAGUUAAAUUGGAGGGGUCACAAAUGGUCCCGCUUAAAACCCAACAACUAGACAGAACUCACUUAGAUAUUUAUAGCAAUAAUAACUAAAUAAAUAUAACCAACAUAAAGCUAUUAAAUAUAAGCAAACAACUAAGAAAUAAAAUACCAGAGUUUUAACGAGGUUCGGCCAAUUUAGCUUACGUCCUCGGACACUACCAAAUUAAUAUUUCAUCUAGAAAUAUUACAAUAGAGAAGAUCAACACCAAGUUACAAUUAGCUACUUGGAUUUUUGGGAUGAUAAAACCUAAGGGGGAAGGGUUCUAUAUAUAACAAACCAAACCCCCUCCCUUUCUAUCUUUUCCUAAUGUAGGAUAUUGCCAAUAUUCAACACCUGCUGCAUGCAAUUGUAUUAUAUUAUCGUUUCUAAUGACGAAGAAAAUGGAACAACCGUGAAGUGAAAAAAAAAAAGUUGAUGAGAAAAAUAAAUCAAGGCGGACAUAGAAAUUGUUGUCGCAGUCAACAUUAAAUAUGGUAAGCAGGUGAGUUAAUAAGUUUGACAGGUCCUCACCAAAAAUUAACUUCUCCCUUUUAUCGUCAUAUGUAUUAUUUAAGAUAUUGCAUGCUUUUGUCGUUUUCAUUACACCAAUAUUUUAUGUCUAGUAAGUUUUGGAACAACACCUCAUGAUUCAUCCAUUAAAUUCCAAUUUAGCGUUAUAUAAGUUUUUUUUUCUUAGAGAAUAUUAAGAAAAUCCAGUGUCAUAUAUACACAACAUGAAAUAAAUUUGGUAAUAAAAAAAAUUUGAGAGUAGGGCACCAAAUUAUAGUCCAGUAUUUCAAAUUAAUUUGGUUAUAAGGUCAACAAUCAAUUAUGCAAAUGAUGUAAACCUAAGACACUACUUUAUCACAUGUAUUGUUUCUACUGAUUAGUUUUAAUCAAUUGAAGUUAAUUGGAAAUAAAAUAAAGUAAUUGAUUAUGAAAUUGAUAGAGAUAACAGGUCAACCAAAUGAAUUAUUUUUCCUAUAUUAAAUUAUAAAACAUUCAAAAUGUAGUUAUGACACACGAAUAAGAUUUAUAUAAAAUAUAUAUAUUUAUUAAAAUUUUAUAUGAAAAUCAAAUCAAAUGAAAUUGAAGUUUUUAAAAUUAUAAUGUUUAUGGUGAAUUCAAGUAACAUCUAAAACAAUCAUUAAAAAAAUUGGAGAUUAAUAAGUUAGAAUUGUUUGGAGAGAUCUUACUCAAAAUAAAAAUUACUUUGACGAAAAUCAUAUUAUUAUAUUUUUUAAUAUGAAAGCUUCAAUCUUAUCAGAUUUAUAAUUUUACUUUAUAUUAUUUUUAAUUCAUAUUGUAAUUAUAAUUUAUAAUGAUAAUUAUUUAUUAUUUAUUAUUAUUUUAAAAUUUCAUAACCUUCGUUACUUACGGUUUGUUUAAGGUUACACACAAAAUUAAUGAAAAAUUAUAACCUCUGCUGCUUGAGGUUUGCUUAAGGUUGUUCACAAAAUUAAUGAAAAAAUUAUAACCUUCAUCACUUAUGACUUGUGUUAUAAAAGGUAAAAAAAUCAAGACAAAUCAAUUCAUCGUGUUUUUCUUCAUCAAAUCUGAUAGACGACUUCAAUUAAACAUUAGAUAAAUCUCUAUUGAUUUUAGUUUGCAUAAUACGAAAAACUUCAAUUUUUAAAUUUGAUCCAAUUUGAAUUUAAAUUUUAUUUAAUAAAAUAUUUAUAUGAUUUUAAAUUAGAAAAUAUAUUUAAAAAGUAAAAAAAUACAGAUUUAAUAUUAAAAUUAAAAAUUAAUGUUUUAACUUAAUUAAAUUUAAAUAUUAAUAUUUAAUUUGGUAAUUUUAAUAUAUUAAAAUCCCAAAUAAUUCUAUCUAUUAAUGUACAAUUACAAAUUAAAUCAACUUUAUGCUCAAAAUAAUUUUUUUAAUAUAUAUAUGAAUUAUAAAAAUAGAAUUGUUCUAAGUUUUAUUCCAAAAUCAAAGUGUUAAAAUGGGAUGCAUUUCUUAUAUUAAUAUUUUAUUUUCAUAUUAAAAUAAUAAAAUGUAAAUUAAAAUGAGUUGAAAUUUAAUAAAUAUUAAAUUACACUUUCUAAUUAACUCCAAUUGCAUAUUGAUUGUCAUUAGGAUUAUCUAAUCACAUUAUUUUUAUAAUACAAAUAUGAGAAAAUAUUUAGUACAUCAGUGAAAUUUUUAACUUUCACAAGUAAAGUUAGAGAGUUUAACAAGUUAUAGGGAUAGAGUAAAAUAUUAAAAAAAAAGAGAGUCAUAUAACAAAAUUUUAAAGUUGUUUGUGAAAUAAAUAAAAAAAUACACUACCACUAUAACAAAUACUAACCUUGCAAAUAUAUUUACAAUAUAAAAUGUUUUAAAACAUUAAGAGUAAAUUAAAAUAAUAAUAAUAAUGUGCAACGCGUGUGGGGCUAAAAACUAAUAUAUAUAAAAUACAAAGUAAAAAAAUGGACUAAACUAGGUUUAAGUUUUGAGUAUUAGAGUUCAAGCUUGAUUCAUAUUUUAAAUGAGUCUAAUAUUUUUAUCUAAAACUAUUUUUAAACUUCAUAAUUUUAUUCAAAUCUAUUUAUUAUAUAAAAUCAAAUUCUUUUGGGAGUCAUUAGGAAUUAAUAAGGAUAAUUUUGGUAGUAAAAGUUAAAGACAAUUAUAUAUUUUGGAAAAAAUAAUUAUUUUAAAAUUUAAUAAAACUAACUCCCUUUUAGUAAUUAGGAAUUAAUAAGCACAAUUUAGACAUUAAAAGUUUAGAUAAUUGAAAUUUUUUAAUUACUUAUUUUAAAAUUUUUUAUUCCAUUUUAAUUAUUUGUAUUUAAAUUGUUCUUUUAAGUCCAAAUGAAAUUAUUUAUGCUUAAUUCAUUAAUCUUUUACCAAAAUUUUUUUUUAAAAAUUUUUAAUAAUUUAAUAAUUUAAUUUUAAUAUAAAAAAUCUAUAUUCCAAGAAUUUACAUACCAAAAUGUAUAUAAAAAAUUUAGAUAGUAAGUUGAUGUUUUUAAAGGAAAAGGUGAGUAAAAAAUAAAAUAUUUUUAAGAUUAUUCAAAAGAUAAUAUCUGCAGUAGUAUCAGUAUCAGUAUCAGUAUCUAUAUGUAUUAAUAUCAUAUUUACUUUUGUUUUCUUCUAAAUUUAAAUUGGUUAGUUUCUUUAGUUUUACUUAAUAUAUUAUUAUUAAAAAAUUUAAUAAAUUUUCAAUUGAACUUUAAUUUCAGCUACACAUUUUGUAUAUGGUAAUAUUUGUUAUUAAGAAUAUUUGAUAUAUUAAUUAGCUUUUCAGUUACAAGUUUUUUUUGUAUAAAUAUUGUUCCAUCUUAUUAUUUUAUCCUAAUUUUCGUUUGAUCGUAAUUUUAUCUUAAUUUUUAAUUUUUUUUUCUCUACUAAGAGGUUAGUUUUUUAAAUGGAUACACGUGUUUACAUGCUAUUUUUAAAUAAAUUAUUAGUUUUUUUUAUCUAUUUCUUUGUUUUUCAAUGUCAAGCUCGAGUCUAAAACUUUUUUAUUUUUAAAUUGAGAGUAUAAUUUUUUUUCUAGUCUUCGUCGUAUUCUAACAUAAAAAAUUAAAAAUCCAUUAAUAACACUAUUUACUAAUAUUAUACAAAUAUAUAUCCAAAAUAGAUUACAAGAUUUCCUUUUAUGUCCAUUUUUAAUAUUUUUUUAUAAUAAUUCCAUGCAAGGGAAAAAUCAGGAUUUUAUUGUUUGAAGUUUAGAUAAAGCAUUUCUCUUUUCAAUUUUCUUACUCUUUUUUGUUGCACGUGAAAAAGUUAUUGGUGCUACCGCCCAGCUUUGGAUAUCAUUCUAUAUUUAAAUUGGGUAUAUUUCAUUUAUAUGAUUUGACAUGUUGAUGGCAUAUUUUAUAAAAUCAUAACAAUUUUCCAUAUAAGGUAAAAUUGUAUUUUAGAUAUCUAUUAUUGAUAGUAGUAAUUAAUUUUUUUGCUGGUAUUUUUUAAAGAGAUAAACGAUUAAUCAUGAAAUAUGCUCUAUUCUUAAUAAAGAGGCAAUGGAAGAAGAUUGUAUUUGAGUUGUUCGAUUAAAAAUUUUCAAAAUUGACUUGGAAAGAAGAAGUCAAAUAGAUUUAAAAAUAAUAAUAAAGAAAAAAAAUACAGAAACAACUAAAAGAAAAAAAUUAAGAACAAAGAAUAAAGAUUUAAAACAAUAAAUAAAUAAAACGAAAAUUAAAAAGUGGUUUAAAAAAUCGAUUGAUAUAAUAGCUAGAUGAAUAAGUGUCCAAUUGAACCAUUUGAGACAAAAAUCACAACAAAUUCAAUUAAUAACUCUAAUGGAACUCUAAUUAAUCUAAAUAAAAAAAAAUUAUAUGAUAAAGCAAGUUCUGAUGAAAAAUUCCUAUUACAUAGUGAGAUGACAAGUAAUGGAUUUUGAUAACAAUUUUUAUUAAAGUGGGAAGUGAUAAUGUAGUGAAUUAAUUUGGUAAAAGUUUUGUUCUUGUCAAGCCAUGAAAAGAUAAAAGUAAUAAAUUAUGGUAAUAAUGAAUCAUAUAAAUAUGGAAUUAUCUGUUAAUUAUUAAAAUAUGCUUUAUUAAGAUAUGUUCAAGAAUUAUAAUAGUAGUAAUUUUUUAUAUAUAGAGUUUAAGGUAAAAAAAAAGAGAUUAUUCCUGGGUACUUACUAAGCUUUUACAAGUGUAACGUGUGUUUUAAACACGUAGAUGGAAGAUCGAAUUAAAGCUCUAGAUUCAGGUUGAGAUUUCAACUCAUCUCAUCUCAUAACCAAGGUUUGAAGAGAGUACAAAUUUGAUAUUUUGGUUAUAGAAUAUGACAUGUACACAAGUUAUUGCCAGUGUUUUGAUAUUUUGAGUUUUAUAAUGAUUAGUUGACGUGAAAUAGUCGAAGUUGCUUCGGCAAUUAAUGUAACAUCUCAGUACUUUGACCCGAUGUUUGGGUCGGAUAUGAGGGUGUUACAUUGUUGGUAACUAUUUUGUAACUUUUCAUAAUUAGGUGACAAAAAAUUUCACUAAUAGUUAGAUAUUAAUUUUAUAAUUUUUCAUACUUGGGUGAACAAAAAGAAUUUACUAAUAGUUGAAGAAUUUACUAAUAGUUCAGUGAGUAAUAGUUUGAUUUACCCAAAAAUCUAUGUACUUACAAGUUACAAGAGGGGUAGGCUAAUUACCCCCUAUCCAUAAAUGAAUUCAUUACUGGCGGACCAUUAUCCAUAAAUGAAUAAACAUAAACAGGAAUGCAGUGGAAGUGGAUGGAUCAAUGAUAUCCAGUACCGGUAGGCAGUUGAGGUAGAGAAAAUAUUGGGUCAUACUUUUCAGUGCUUUUAAAGGCAAUCCCCCUCCCCUCCUCCUUUUUGCUGCAGCUUUAUUAACUGACGUAGUGCUAGAGUAGUAAAGGCAGCAGCAAGAUGGAAGUCCCCUUUUUCCCAACCCUUUUCUCCUGUAUCAAAGGCUUGGUGGUGCAACAAGCCUUGUUCUCAACCUUGGAGGAUUGGCUAGUGAAGCAUCCCAAAAUCCUCCAGUUUUCAUGGGAAAAUGGCCAAACACCAGCCUCCUCUCACCGCUUCCUCACCCUCACUGUCUUGUCUUACAUCUCUUUCACCUUCGUUCUCUCCCAACUAUCUCGCCCUUCACUUUCACGUCCACUCCUCAAAUCAAUCGCAGCCGUCCACAACAUCUUCCUCCUUACCCUUUCUUUCAUCAUGGCCCUGGGUUGCCUCGUUUCCAUCUUCUCCCAGGUGCCUAACUUCAACACCCUCGUUUGCUUCCCUAGGGGUACAUCCCCAUCGGGCCCUCUCUUUUUCUGGGCAUACAUCUUCUACCUCUCCAAGAUUGUUGAAUUCAUGGACACCCUUUUGAUCAUCCUCAGCGGAUCCAUGAAGAGGCUAUCCUUCCUUCACGUCUACCAUCACUCCAUGGUGGUCAUCAUGUGUUAUAUUUGCUUAGACAGUGCUCAGUCCUCCGUACCCAUGGUGCUGAUCACCAACUGCGUGGUGCAUGUCGUAAUGUACUCCUAUUACCUGUUGUGCACCCUGGGGAUGCACCCCAAGUGGAAGAAAAUGGUGACGGAUUUUCAACUGGUGCAGUUCCGGUUAAGCUUUUUGAUCAUGGCCAUGCUUGUGUUCUACCACUUCACUGCUUCUGGCUGCUCUGGGAUUCUGAGUUGGUGUUUCAAUGGAGCCUUCAACGUCUCUCUUCUCUACUUGUUCUCAGACUUUCAUGCCAAGAGUUACUCCACCAAUGCCAAGGUCUUCAAGGGUAACUAAUAAUUAAUUAAACCAACUUUUUUUUGUUUUUCCAUUUCGUUUCCAUUGUUACAUGUAGUAAUUGUUUCAGAGUGAUUCCGUUCAAGCUCAUGAAUCUGGUAUAGAAUCUUAAUUGUGAAAG